AGGCCCAAAAACACUUUAUAUUAAUAAUAUCAUCCAAAAACACUUGUAUUAACAUUUAUAUCCAAACAAUGUAAUUCAGAAGAUAAAUUAUCUAGCAACCAAGAGCAAAUGUUUCAAAUUUACAAGCCAAGAAGCCAUCAAAUCUUAUAGUGCAGAACUCCUCCCAUAUUCUCAGCAAAAUUCCAGCACAUAAACUCCCAUUGAGAACAACUACCCAGCAAAACUCCCAAGUCCAGUAGUUUCCUUAAACCUGCAUGUGCAACACUAAUUGAAUAUGCCCAGCACUAUCAUUAUAAAAAAUUAACUAUUACUGUAAAACUCUUAAGUUUUAGAUACAGUAAAAUCAUUACAAAUUCAAACUCAAUCUGCAUGUGUAGCACCAAUGAAUAUAGCCAGCACUAUCAUUAUAAAGAGCUAUUUAUUAAAGUAAAACUCUAAGUUUCAAAUGCAACUUAAAUAAACUACCUGCAGAAUCAUAAGGCAACAACACAAACUCAAAACAUCAUUUUGAAGGUUAGCCAAAUUCAAACCGUCAAUUUCAAUGAACAGAGCAAAAACCUGCUGCUCUAUUCUACUUAGAGUUUGCCUUAAUUCUUCAAGAGCUUGAACUUGCAUAGUUUCAUGUUCUUGAGCCUCUCUAAGACAACUCUCUAAUUCAGCUUUUGCUUCAUUGUUGGCACAUUCCUCAGUUAAUUCUUUAGCCUCCUUGGCUGCAGCCAAAGCAUUUAUGUCGUAAUAUUUUUGUUCUACAAGUUCUACUUGGUGUUUCUCAAUUGUUUCUUAAAGCAAAUUCUCUAUGGCUGUUUUGUCCCUCUUGAUGCUCUCUACUUUAUUUUCUUCAACCCAGGAGGACAAAGAUAAUACAAAUCUUUAACAAACUAUUGCAGUUCAUCAAAACAAAGUUCAGAAGUGUAAUUUAGUCAACAAAAGACGCAUCUACUAAGUUCAUUUAUGCAGUUAAAGCAAAAAAAAAAAGUUUAUCCAUCCCAAUACUUCAGAAAUUUCAUUUCCUCCCAAGUGCUACAGAAUUAAUUUUUCAACUAAUUAAAACUAAUAUGACUUUAAAAACUUCACUUACAUAAAAACUAAUUCUCAAUUACAAAUAGUCUGAGUUUGAUUAAACUCAAAAAACAUCACAAGACAUAAAAAGCCUGUCAAGAUCACAAGUAAACAAGAUUUUGCUAAAAUAUGCCAAAACGUCCAUAUUAUCUUCAUUUAUAUGACGAUUGAAGAAAAUAGCAGCUCGAUCUAAUAUACCAGCUAACUCUACAAUUAAAAAGAAUGCUUUGAGAAUCCAACUACCUGAAGUUUGGUAACCAAACCUUUCUUCUGCUCUUCAAGCUCUCUAAUCUAGUUCUUAUGAAAAGGGGAAUAAAAGAAAAAAGUAUAUUCAUUAGAAAGAGCAGUUGAGAUAAAGUCUUUUGAAAACCAAACAAUAUGUAAAACUGCAUGUGUACUUAGAGACCUUAAUUUCUGGAUUUGAGCUUCUUACGCAGUUUUCUUUUUUGAAAGCUCUUCACCUGAAAUGACAGAUGAAUGUUAAGCAGGGGCCUCAUCACAUAAUUAUUGGCUACUGCCAAUCAAAUAUGUAAAAUCCAAAUACAAUGCAUCUGCCAGGCAGAAAAAGCUAAAGAUAGGGAAAGGAAUGGUUUAAUCACUUUCUAUAGUUUUAAAAAUUUUGAUUUUAAAUAUAUCAUAAACUAAGAUGGAAAUUGCACAUUAACUAAUGCAGUAGUCAAAUUUUUGACAUACUAAAGACAAAAUCAUGGGAUGAAAACAAAAAGAUAUGCAUGACAUGCUAUUAGAGGGACAUAUGAACAUGAUUCUUCUUCCAAUAACUGCUCAAACUAUUAGUUUAAAAUUGUAACCGAAAAUAAAUGAAGAGAACUUAAUCCAACAACUCCCAAUUUAGGACUCACAUUUGAAAACAAUUUCUCGGUUUUAAGUCACAUUCCUAACCUAUCACAGAGUGGAACCUAUGUAAAGACGAGCAUGUACACACACACACCAAAAAACAAAAAAAAAGGUCUGGAACAAAAAGCAUACCCUUCUUUCUAGAGUUACAACGUAACCCUUUGACGGUAUUCCUCCCGUAAAGUUUCAAGUUCUAUAUCACUGUUUUUUUUCUAAUCCAAAACUUCAAGCUAUUAAAUCACAAAUUAAAAAAAAAAAACCUUAAAUCUCUCUAUCUCUAUCAUCUAAUGCAACUUCUUAACCAAACCCAUCAUUUCAUUUAGUCAAUCAGUCAGUCACUUACUCACAAACUCUCCAAAAUACAAAAUUUCUCUCAACCACUUAGGGCUUUAAACAAAAUUAGAUGAAGAAGAAAAACAAAACCUGGAAUUCAAGGUUUAGGGCUGCAAUCCUCUAGUUCACGUGACAAAGUCAGGGAGUUGAUGGUUCUGGUUGCGUCACGCCAUCGCAAUUUGUGGUCAUGGUAACCGACUUGAAUUUUGUCAUGGGUCUGUGAUUUGGGUGUUGCUUUGUCGUUUGCUCGAUGGUGGUAGUUGCUGAUUGUGUAUGGAAAACUAUAUAUAGGGAAUGGAUUUGGCUAGGUUUUGAGUGCUAAUUGUGAAAGUGAGAGUGAUGAUAAUUGUGCCUAGGGUUUGAGUGUCGUUUGUGAGAGUGAGAGUGAUAAUGACUAUGGUGAGUGUAGGCUAAUUGAUUGAGAGUGUCACGAUGAUUGUGGCUAAGGUUACAGUGCUGAUUGUGGAGUAACAGUGACGAUGAACGUGCCUCGGGUUUGAGUGGCCUUUGCGAGAGUCAGAAUGACGAUGGCGAUGGUGAGUUGUGUAGAGUUUAGGACUUAAGAAAUGUUUUUGCUUUGUUUAGAUUUCGGCUAAAUGCACCGUUUUGUACUAUAUAUUUUUUUUUAUUUCAAAAAUCAUUUCACAUGCUAAACGC
rnacentral:lncRNA from 1 species